UAAUUACAAAAUACUGCUAGUUUGAUCUUCUUUUCAAAGGGAACCUGAUUACAAACUGUGGAGAGAGGCUGCAAGAAGCUUGGAUACACUACUUCAAACUUUGGAGAGGAAGAGGAG
rnacentral:lncRNA from 1 species